GCAAGUCGAACGGGAAACCCCGCAAGGGUUAGUAUAGUGGCGCACGGGUGAGUAACACGUAGGUGAUCGACCCUUUGGAUGGGAAUAACUCUUAGAAAUGAGAGCUAAUACCAAAUACGAUCAACAAAGAUGAAACUAGUUGAUGAAAGGAUGCCUCUGCUUGCAAGCAUUCACCGAAGGACGGGCCUGCGGAGCAUUAGCUUGUUGGUGGGGUAAUGGCCUACCAAGGCGACGAUGCUUAGCGGAUUUGAGAGAAUGAUC
rnacentral:rRNA from 1 species